rnacentral:rRNA from 1 species
UACGGAGGGUGCAAGCGUUACCCGGAAUCACUGGGCGUAAAGGGCGUGUAGGCGGGAUGUUAAGUCUGACUUUAAAGACCAUGGCUCAACCAUGGGAGUGGGCUGGAUACUGGCAUUCUAGACAACUGGAGAGGCGAUUGGAAUUACUGGUGUAGCGGUGGAAUGCGUAGAUACCAGUAGGAACGUCAAUGGCGAAGGCAGGUCGCUGGACAGUUUGUGACGCUGAGACGCGAAAGCGUGGGGAGCGAACCGG